rnacentral:rRNA from 1 species
AUUGAACGCUGGCGGCAUGCUUUACACAUGCAAGUCGAACGGCAGCGCGGGCUUCGGCCUGGCGGCGAGUGGCGAACGGGUGAGUAAUGCAUCGGAACGUGCCCAGUAGUGGGUGAUAGCCCGGCGAAAGCCGGAUUAAUACCGCAUACGACCUGAGGGUGAAAGCGGGGGACCGAAAGGCCUCGCGCUAUUGGAGCGGCCGAUGUCGGAUUAGCUAGUUGGUGGGGUAAAGGCUUACCAAGGCGACGAUCCGUAGCUGGUCUGAGAGGACGACCAGCCACACUGGGACUGAGACACGGCCCAGACUCCUACGGGAGGCAGCAGUGGGGAAUUUUGGACAAUGGGGGCAACCCUGAUCCAGCCAUGCCGCGUGCGGGAAGAAGGCCUUCGGGUUGUAAACCGCUUUUGUUCGGGAAGAAAUCCUCUGGGCUAAUACCCCGGGGGGAUGACGGUACCGGAAGAAUAAGCACCGGCUAACUACGUG